AUGGGACCUGGACGAACAGUUCGCCCACCAAGGAAUGCCCCACAAUCUCAAGGUCAACAUUCUGGGAGUACCUCAGCAUCAAAAUCCAGGAAGGUGCGUGGGAUAAAUAAGGGAAAGGGCUUGGGGCGUUUGAUCAAAAGGGAAGGUCAUCCACUAAACUUGACCAUCUCCGAAGAGAGAAGACCUAUUGGAGAAAAUAAUGAACUACUUUCCAGAGAGAUUGGACUUCUUACACGGUACCAUGCACCUAUCCAACGUGCCGGGUGGCAUAGUCUUACUGAGGAUGAUAAGGAGCCGUUGUAUGAACUUCUAAAGCUUAAGUUCAAUCUUGAUUUCACCCAAGAUCAUAUCAAAGGCUGUGUGGAUCUGCUAUUCUCUUCAAGCUACAAAAGUUUCCGUCACAAGUGUUAUGAAUAUUAUGUAAAAUCUGGUGAUGAUGCUAGAAGCAAUCCAUAUCCUCCCCUUAUUGAUAAUAGAGUUGGAGACUGGAUUUGGCUCUGUGAUCAUUUUGAAACAGAAGAAUUUAAGAAACGGUCCACAAUUGGGAAGGCUAACCACUCAAACCUACCUUAUGUUCACAAGAAGGGAACAAAGUCAUUUGUAGUGGUUCAACAUGAAUUAAAUUGUGGCAUAUCGGACUAUACAAGGAGUGUUACUCUAGUGAUAAGAAGGGAUGGGCAUCAGAAGAUGCCAGGAAUAAACAUGAAGAAAUGUUGCAGAAGCAAAAGGAACCCAUAG
rnacentral:rRNA from 1 species